GCGCACGCGGGAACUGGGAUCUCAACCCCAGGGCUAGGUGCCUCCUCCCGCUGCUUUCCGCCAGCUGCGGGGUGUGAGAUUAAUCCCCGCCGAUUAGCGCCAGGUGUACUAAGCGCUGGAUGGUUCCCUGACCAGAUGAAACAUCAGCCGAUGUUCUAAUGCCGGUCCCCUGGGCGCUGUCCCCGAGAGGGAAAACCUGUUUUCUGACCCCGGCUCUAGUCGGCCUCUGGAGGUCUGCAGCUGGGUUAUUUUACCUUUGAAACGGACGACACCUGCCCCGUGCACCCCAGCGGCUCCUCCACACGGAGAGAUGGUGUCAGUCAAAGGCCGUCUAGAUGACGAGUUUAUGAAAUUGUUCCUGGCCCGUGCCGGGCACGACCUUGCAGAGAGCCCAGAAGAUGAAACCCCAGCCCUGCCAGGAGCUCACCUGCUAAUUAGGAGGACAACGAAUCACCUCACCUCCCUAGACUUUGCUUCUCCUUUAUUCAGUGAGGGAUUGGACUAGCUGGUCCUUGAGGACUUUUCAGAAAGUCUGGUUCUGGGAGAUGACCAAUGGGAUCAUCUUAUGCUAUGAGCUUUCCUGGAAUGACAGGAAUCUCACAUCUUCUGCCAGCAUCCUGAAACUAUGGCAGACUCACUUGUUAACUUUGCAAAUAAGGUCAAAUUUCAGAACCUUCACAGCUCCUGAUAGUCACCGUGUAAUAGAAGAUUAAAAGACAAGCUCAGCUCUUGUUCCAGUCAGCCUCAUUCCUCUGCCUACAAUACAAAAGUCACUCAAUCAUAUUCUUGUCUUAAAUUGAACAGUCCUUACAUGGUUAAGAAAAGGAGAAAUUCAUUGUAAGGAAUGUUUACAUUUUGUUUAUAAUUCCUGCAAGUGUAAUGUUUCAAAAGGUUUUCCUGUGGCUGAAGUACAUUUACCCUGUGUAGCUCUAGAGAAAUGAACUUACAAACUGAAAAAUUUCAGCUCAGUAUAUAAAGAAAAACAGAUUUUCACAAUUAGAUCUAUCCCAAAGAGAAUAAAUUUUGAGGUGAUAAGCUCACUGCUGGCUUAGAUCAUCACUUAUGGGACCUCUAAUGGGGCAGGGAUCAGACUAGAUGUGUACAAAGAUCUCUUCCAACUGAAGCUGCUACUGUGGAGGACGUUGUUUUCAGUGGACUCUCUAAUCAGAUUUAUUUUCAUACCAAGAAAUGAAGAAGGUGAGCUGGGGGAUGCAGCUGGGACUCAGAAGACUGCACGUGAUAGACUCAUGAGCUGAAGAUCUCGUGCUUAGUCUGGAGAAGCUCAUCAAGUCUAGCUCACUUUGGAGUAAGUUGGUGCUGGAGAAUGAAUUCAUGCUAACCAAAUUCACCAAGAGCCUGAUUUACAAAUGAGAGAGCCAAGGCCUUAAGUUUAGAGCAAAAGACAAACUUCCAAUGACUUUAGUUUUCUUGUCCAAUAUCUAGGGCACCUUCCCCUCUCCACCUGCUGUGUACACAGGAGAAAUAAUCACUCCACACCCGACUGAACAUUUUCUAACCUUAUCACUGUGGCAGAAACUGGCUACUCUUCCUCCUGGGUAGACAGCCAGGCUGUAUUUCCCCGCUGCCCCUGCAGUGAGAGGUAGCCAUUGGAGCCGGCGCAGGCCAAUGGACUCUGCACUGGAGUGACACAUGCUGCUUCCAGGCCUGUCCCUCAAACCUCCCACAUGUCCUCUGUCUGCUCUUCUCACUUCCAAGGAGUGUGACCAUCGUGGAAGCCCCAGGUUAGCAAUGGCAGAUUGGGAGGCAUCGAUGGGAGGAACCUGGGUCCCUGACUUAAAGCAUCAUGGAUUUGGACUUUCCGUUAUUGAGAAAUAAACUUCCAUUGUGUUUAAGCCUUUAUUUGAUUGUUUAUAGUUUGUUAUAGGAACUGCCAUCUUUUCAUUAAAACACUGAUGCUGCCUCCUGUCCCUGGAAUGCUUGUAACCCUGCCCUGCUUCCCCAGGGUAACCCCCACUUGGCCUUUAAGUUCAUCUCUGCCGUCACACCCUCCAGGAAGCCUUCUCUGAGCACCCCAAUCCCUCCACCAACGGUUUGGUGUCUCCAGCAGAAGCUGCACAGCUGCCCUCUGCCUGCCCUCUCCUUCCUCCUGUUAGAAUCCCAAGACUCCCAUGCAGCUAGAAGCACUCGUGUGAUCCAGUGCCGGUCAAUAAGAUGUAAGAGGAAGCAGCUGGGCAGAGAUUCUUAGGAAUCUCCUUUUAAAAAGGAAGAGAUUGGCCUCAUUUCUGCCUUUUACCCUUUUUCUAUGUGCUUGCCUACUUCCUGCCUGGGACUCCUAUGCAGCACCUGCGAAUGGGGACACAUAUUACAACUCUUAGGCUGAAACCCACGUGCUCAGGCAGAGUAGAAGGAAGUCCUGGGUUCCUGAAGGCAUCAUGGAGCCACCAUGUCCGCCCUGGGCUACCGACCUCCUUUCUCCUGUUGUGUGGAGAAUAUGAACCCCGGUGCUUGAGCCCUGUGGUCGGGUUUCUUUUGGGCACAGCUGAAAGUAAUCUUAACUAGACGAGCUCCUCUGUGAGUGCUCCCAGGCACCUGGCUGCCCUCCGCGGUGCCUAUCGAAACACGCAUCGCACUCGCAUCAUCUGGUUAUGUGUCUGUUUCCCUGGCUUGUUGAAGGCACGGGGCAAGCACUCAAUAACUGUGGUGACAGGGACGUUGCUGUGUCUCCUCAUCCUGGACCUGAGGAAAGGAAAGGUUUCCCUGGAGCACACAGAAAAUCCCAGUGGCAUCCCCGCCCCAUCUCCUCUAUCAGUGGAGCAUCAGCUCUGCGAUCACUGAAGUCUUUCAGGCUCUCACUUCCUCUGAUUCCACCUCAUAGCCAGUAAAUGUCCACACCAAGGAGGAUAUGAAAGUACGAAACAUAGCCCUGGUCCUUCCAUCGAGGAAGUCAAGGAAUGCAUGCAGGACGACAACUAGCACUUGCACUGCACUUCUUAUGCCCCAGGUGAAAUGCACAUAAAAUUGACCAUUUUAAAGUGAACAAUCAGUGGCAUUUAGUACAUUCACAAUGUUGUCCCACCACUCCCUCUCUGUAGUUCCAAAACAUUUUCAUCAUCCCAAAAUGAAAACUUGUACCCAUGAAGUAGCCACUUCCCAUUCUCCCCUCCACUCGGCCCCUGGAAAACACCAAUCUGCUUUCUGUUUCCAUAGAUUUACCUAGUCUGGAUAUU
ensembl:lncRNA DDX11-AS1 DDX11 antisense RNA 1